UAACCCACCAACCCCCCUCACUCUUUAACAAAUUGACCCAUUGACUCCUCACACUGACCAUCACUACCUACCGGAGCUGCCAUUUUCGCCUAAGCACUGCCAUCUCUUCGUCAUUUGUUGUAAGGAGCAACACAUUCUUGUUGGAUCUAGAAAGACGAAGAAGGGUGGUUCUAGAAUUUGAUUCUGUGAAGGGUUUGUAAACAGGAGGUUGGUAAUGGUGGAGGUCUGGCGACGAAGAUCCGGAUCCAACAAAUAACACAUACCGACGAUGGCAACCCACAACAGGCGUAAUAAAUCGAAAAUCGUUUGCAGAUCUGUUGUUCAUCGGGGGGUUUCUAUAGCUCGUAGUUCAACACUGUGGUUGGAGAAGGAGAAAGACGAAGACGACAUUGUGACCUAGAUCUGUACACUGUCGUCAGAGUCGGCGUGUCAUCAUCUCCUCUACAAACUCUGUGUAGUUGCAGAACUUUGGUGGUGGUAGUGAGUAAGUGAGGUAGGGCAGGUGACUACUUGGGGGUGUUUGUAGAUCUUUGUUGGUGUUUGCAAAUCAUAUUCGUCGGAUCAUUCCAAGUCUCUGACGGUCGUCCGACAUUGAGUGGUGUUUGGGAUUGCUUUUUAGCCUAAAAAUCAUUUUCAACAAAAGGUCCUUUUGACUUAUACCUUUUUCCAGAAGGAAGUUUUAAAAUGGGGUUAGAUUAACUUUUGAAGGAGCAAAAGCUAAAAAGUCAAAAGUCACAAAAAGUUACAAAUUCCUGACUUUUAAAACCACUCAUUUUUCUUCUUGCCAAAAAGUCAUUCUAAAAGGACAUUUAGAAUUUCCAAACAAUUUUUCAAACUUCUAGCUUCUUGAAAAAACCAAAAGUCCAAAAAGUCAUUUUAAAAGUAAUCUCAAACACUCCUAAAGAUGACUGAGAUAAAAUGGAGGACAAUAUAGGUGUUAAAGAUAAGGGUCGAGUAGGUGGGGUGUUUUCUUUUUGUCUUUUUUUAAAUAGAAAUAUAUUAAAGUAAAUAACAAAAUGGAAAAAGAAAAUACCAAGUGAAAGUCUAGAUUUUAGAUACUAAAAAAAAAAAAAAAAAAAACUUAUUUUGGACUAACGAUGACCAUUUUUGCAAUUUUGUCUAUACCAAAAAGAAUAUCUUGUAUGUAUCGUUUAGAUUGUCAUCAUAAUAAAUUAAUAACAUACUUUUUUCUAAAAAAAAUCCUAAAUCUAAGCAUUUUGUUUGAAGUUCAACCUUUGGUUAAAGAUUAUGUCCAUCAAUUUAUGAUAUUGUUAGACUAAAAAGCCUUUUGGUCAUCACAAUAAUAUGAUAUUGUUAGAUCAAAAAACCUUUUGGUCAUCACAAUAAUAUAGUGAUAUUAUCUAGCAAGUUUGUCCAUCAAUUUAUGAUAUUGUUAGAUCAAAAAGCCUUUUGGUCAUCACAAUAAUAUACUGAUAUUAUCUAGCAAAUACCUUAUCAUGGACUUACUAAUUCGUGUAAGGCGAUAUUGUUUUCUUAGAGUACCGGAUAUAUUGAGUUUAGUGUUGGAUUCGUUAUUUUUUUUUUUCAAAUUAAGUCUUGCUAGAUUUUGGAUUUAAGAAUAUCAACGUAAACUUAGAUAAUUCUAAUCAUGAUUGCAAUCAUUUUUUUAAAUUUGUGAUUUCGACCAUAUAGCCUAAUAUCACGAAAUCUAAUUUGGAAUAAUCCAAGAAUGACAAUUUAAAAGUCAAGCCAGUUCCAAAUUUAAAACACAUAAAAUACUUUGUUAUUUUGCAUUUUGAGAUAUAGAUAAAUUCAGAUAAUCAAUUUUGAGUAUAAAAAGUGUUAACCAUUUCCAUAUAACAUUCAUCUUCAUCUUAUAGAAGGAAGAUGGCAGUUGGAAGUUGAUUGUACAGAAAAUGAUGCCAAAAUGGGUGGUUAUAAUGGUAGUUAUAAGACAUAACCGAUUUUUACAUCACAAUGAUGUCGCAACCUAUUUUUUACGGAAAAUGCAUGCAUGGGCUCUUUCCUUUUAUAGAAAUUCGUUUAGGUUUCGAGACGUUGUCCGUUGACCCCAUCUGGUGGUUGAAUGGUCAACGGAACCACGGCCAAGGGGUCUGCCUCUUGGACUACGCAAGGGCGCUGCUCCCAGACCUCCGUAUUCCCUGGUUCAUAUUUAUCACUUUGAAUGUACACCACGCACCUCUGGUCUUAGUGAGUAAAUAGAACUCAGUCUAUCUCAAAAUUAAAAAUAACUACCAUAACACUAAAAUCAUCAAGUCUUGUAUGGAUAAACCUUGAAUGAUAACAUGACUGAAUGGUUAAUGAUUUGUAUUUUAUAAGCAAAGCAAAGGCUGAUUCUUGAAAAAAUAUAACAUCUUAUCGAACACCAUUAACUCUAGUUUACAUUAACAUAAAAGAUGUCAUAUAAUCUAUAACAAUUAAAAAAUGAAAAAAGAAGCAGGUCCUCUUCAAACUUCAGUACUUCACCCUCAUGUGAUUACCCUCCGAUUCAAAAUCAAAAGAAGCUACGUUUAGGACGUUCCUCAGCAACAUUAACCCUAAUUGCCCUCCCAUCCAAAUUCUGCAUCGCAAAUUCAAUAAGAACAAGUUCCAAAAAUACAUUUAUAUGAUUAUAUCAUCAUAUGGGGUUAAUAUGUAGCAAUUUACAAAUUGCAAUAUACCUGUCCAUCAAGAGCAGCAAUGGCGUCGUUCAUGUCUGACUCACUUGCCAUUGUUAUAAAACCAAACCCACGUGAUUUUCCACUUUCACGAUCAUAAAUCACCCUUGCAUCGACCACUUUCCCAUGUUCAUUAAACGCCUGCUCCAGACGUUCACUAUCCACCUGCCAUGCUAGGUUACCCACGUAGAUCUUGAAAGAAGUCCCUACCACUCGUCUUUCUGGUUGUGAACCUCUUGGAGCAGCCUUAUUUACAGUAAGAGCCCUUCCACUCAAAUCCUGUUUUUGUUCAUAAAAAUGUUACAGAUUAAUGUGAAUAUGCAGUAAUUAAGAUGGAUGGAUGGAGAAGAAGAUAAAGUUUACAUAGCCAUUGAACUUCUCCACAGCUUUCUCAGCUUCUUCUACUGUGCUCAUUGUCACAAACCCAAAUCCUCUACUUUGUUCUGUAUCCCUGUUGUAUAUAACCUAAAACCAGACAUCAAAUCGGCCAUUGUAAGCACAUGCUGCAACAGACGGAAUUAAUUAAGAAAUUACUGAAAAGUAAAGGGUUCAAUCGAUUAAUACCUCGGCGAUAUCUACUACUCCGGCAGAAUUGAAGAGAUUAGCCAAUUUCUCGCUGUCAAAAUCGUAGGGUAAGUUACCGACAAAAAGCUUUGCCUCUUCAGGUGGUUCUGAAUAUGAUUCUUCUUCCUCUUCUCCUUCUUCGUUAGUUGCAUCUUCUUCGUCUACUGGUUCAGUUUCUUGUGUCAAUUGUUGUGACCAAUCUGAGGUGUUGGUCACGAAUUGGAGUGAUUUGGAAGGUGAAAUGGUGGUUUUGUGAGAGAUCCAUGAUGAAAUUCGAGAGACGUUUAUGGUUUUGAAGGGUUUAGGAUAUGGAUUUGGCCCUAAUGGGGUAGAAAUGGAAGUGUAUGUAGGUAUAAGCAAUUGGAAUGACAGAAAUGUUGUAGCGGAAGUCAUAACAAGAAGAAGGGGGGAGGAGAUGUAGGAAGAUAAGAG